rnacentral:rRNA from 1 species
AUUGCACGCUGGCGGCAGGCCUAACACAUGCAAGUCGAACGAGUGGCGGACGGGUGAGUAAUGUAUGGGAAACUGCCUGAUGGAGGGGUAUAACUACUGGAAACGGUAGCUAAUACCGCAUACUAUCAGAUGGUCCCAGAUGGGAUUAGCUUGUUGGUGGGGUAACGGCUCACCUAGGCGACGAUCCCUAGCUGGUCUGAGAGGAUGACCAGCCACACUGGAACUGAGACACGGGCAAGACUCCUACGGGAGGCAGCAGUGGGGAAUAUUGCACAAUGGGCGCAAGCCUGAUGCAGCCAUGCCGCGUGUAUGAAGAAGGCCUUCGGGUUGUAAAGUACUUUCAGCGGGGAGGCGUUACCCGCAGAAGAAGCACCGGCUAACUCCGUGCCAGCAGCCGCGGUAAUUC